AAAAAAUGGUUGUAUGAUUAGACUGUAUGAUUAGACUGGUAUGAUUAGACUGUAUGAUUAGACAAUGAAUUGUGGCUUAGCUGUGAGCUUAGCUGUGAUCACACAUUUACUAUUUAGAUGGAGUUUGGACAAAGCAAUACAAAGGAUUAUUUUAUUUUGUAUUGUGAUGCGAAAACGUUGUCCUUUGAUAGUGUUGUUUGUGGACAGACGGAAGUGCUUGCCAUUUUACUAUCGGUGUGUCACUUUAGUUGCAACUGCAUUUUAAGAUGCCAUGUGCUUGAUCAAUUUAUGCAAUACUAAAUGAAAAUUUGAACUUUUAAGGUUGAACGGUACAAGAAUCAAGCGCACAGAGAGGAUAGCCACUUACAAGAACACAGGUUAAGGUGGAUGUGUUGACGUUGAACUUACUGAGGAUGACAUUCCUGGUGAAGUUCCUGGUGCUUCACCGUUAGAACAACACAACAACCAAGCACUGAGGUACUGACAGAAAAAAGCGGAACUUGUUGAAAGCUCUCAACUUGGUCAGCCACACUCACUCCAGUCCAGGCCAGCAACUGCAUGUCUCACAGGUUGUGGAGACCCCUCACAAGGCCAGCUCUACCCGCUCUAACGGUGUUACGCCAAGCACGUCUGCUGAAGUCCCUCUAUCAGUCUCUAAUGUCCCUAUCCGAAGUGCGACUAAUCCAGUCCACAGUACAACAGGCCUUCUGUUUCAGCCCACUUUCAAUACCUUUCAGAGUGGAGAAGGAUACUUUUUCUCGUUUGACGUUGACGUGUGUCAAACUGGACUUGACUAUGCUGCUCUUUGUUUCUACUUUCCUCACGAGUGCAAAGUGUGGUGUGGUUUGGAUAUCCUACGGAAGUUUGGUCGUGUGUUACUUGUCCAGAUGUCUGUUUCAUACCGAUAGAUCAUCUCAAGG